AAAGAGACUAUUUCUGCUUUAUUUCUGAUUAAAUCUCUCACCCGAAAAACUGACUGGAUGCACCUUGCGUAAGUUACGUUAAUAAAUGCCCUUCAGAUCGAAAUAAACUAUCUUACCUUGACUUUUCAAAGCUUAAAUCCCGUGUUUACUCUCUCUGUCGUGUCGCAUUGAGGUCAGGUAAAUAAUAAUAAUAAAAGACUUCACCUGAACUACACGCCUGCGUGACGUAACGUGAUGACGAUGUGGGAUGAUGCGGACUUGAAAAUAUUUACAUUUAUAAUUUCCUGUAUGAAAGUAGUUUAAUUUAAUUUCAAUGGUUAGCAUACUUGAAAAAAACGGGGAAAAAAACAUUGUAGCGAUAAGAAAGUUAUAAAGUAUUGUUUUUGUUAACGAGGAAGUAGCAAACAAAUCAUUAUAUAUAUAUAUAUAUAAACGUUAAUUGUAGAACGUGUUGGAAUACGCACAAAUUCAAAAUAUAAAGAGACUUUUUAAAAUCUGUUUAUUUAAUGUUAUUAACACAUUUCUGAUAAAUAUAUUUUCUUCUAACGAUGACGGACAAGCGCGAAUCUGCUGAAGAGAGAGAAGUUGCCAUGGUGAUGGUUUACUCUGACAGGACGUAAACAUUAGACCUCAAGCGCGAGUUGUGUUAUUAAGUAACUGUUUGUACAUGAACAGCGAUCGUGUUUAUUUCCACAUUACUUCGUUUUCUACAUCAGCGAAGGAUAUUAUUUCGGUCUUUCUCAGCUGUGGUGGUGAGGUGAGGCGAAACAGUUCCUCAGAUGAUCCAGACGCCCCGCGGUGGAAAUGCUACGGUCGGACAGACGGUUCGUCUCACCUGUACGUCUGCCUCUCUACCUCCCGCCUGCUUCUCAUGGGAACUUAACGACCAGCCGGUGACCGCCGGCCCAUCAGGGAGUGGCGUGCUGAGUCUGCAGAUCUUCUCCACCAAUCAGAGUGGCCGUUACGCCUGCAUCGCACGGGAUGACGUCACAGGAGGGACAUCGAAGCAGCAGAUAGGCCUGGCCAUUGUGGAUUGCAAACAGAGCCUUUGUCAAUGGAAACCACCCUGAUCCCACAUUACACAACUCACUCCCAAAAAACCUCACCGCCAUUCCCAAUAACAACAAUGGGAACAUCAACACAAUGUCACAAAACAUGCCCAGCAACCCACUUCAUCAUAAUGGCCAUUUGAACACUGAUGUGUUCCAACACAACUUCAGCACAGUCCCAGACAAUGGGCAUCAAAACAAUUCAUAUCCAAACAAUGGCCCUCAGAGAUCGUUCCCACAGUUUGUCCAACACAAUCCCAAUAUUCUCAUAAAACGGGUAGUUCUCCGCCUGGUGCGCUUGCGCCUAUAGUUCAUGUAAACCUCAACACCUUGCCACGUAAUGACCAGUUUAGUAAUUCACAAACUCAAACGGUGCAUGUCAUCUUGAACACAUACCCUCCAGAAGCAAAUCAUAUGGUCCAGCAACAUGCAGAAAGUGCACUACAGAGUCAACAUAUUAACAGCAACCAUCAAAAUCUUUCUUAGAAUGGCUUGCUGAACUCAGACCCUUUGAUAUUGAGUAAUCAGACACAAACAAUGCUCAAUAAUGCUUCAACAAAUGGUUGUCACCAACCCAACGGCCUCAUUCAGACUGGAUACUCUCACCCUACCAAUCAAACCAAUGCAAACCGCCGAACUGCCAACUCAAGAUCAUCAGCAGAAGACCGAACUCGACGUUCAGAACGCACCUCCAACAGAUGCCUUGUGACCGUUUGCAGGGAACAUCUGCAUAUCCCAACCCUGAAGUCUAUAGUUCAGACAGUAGUGGAUCUUCAGAUUGGCCACAAUGAGAAGCACAGAGGGAUCGUUCUGCUCUGAGAUACUGGGAAACUGAAUCUUCAGGAAGGUUGAUCCAAGCUGCUCCUUCCCCCCAAAGAAGAGACCUCCAGGGACCAAUCGUACUUAACCACUCUCAAAUGCACCCAAACGUGCAAAGACAAUCAAUCCAACAGAACUUAAGCACACAACCGCAAGUCUAAUUUCAAAUCCAGACCGCAAUACCUCAAAACCAUAGACUAUAAAAAAGGUGGCCGAUGCGUCUCCACUUCCUUCCACUAUAGAAAAGUGAAGCCAAAGCAUCUCAGUAUGGCUGCUGCCAUCUUGAGUCAAUAGCACAAUUCGUACGGGAUUAGUAUUACCUGGUGACCUCCAGUCAUUUGUAAUAAUUGCGGAGGUUGUCUGUGAUCUUACUCCCGUGCGAAUCGGCCAUGACUGUAAUUUGUAAAGUAAAAAUUACCCCGCAAAUGACCUACCAUAUUUCGUAUUAUAAUAGUAUUUUGGGUGCUGUCAUAUUCACUGCGCCAUACAAUUUGCAGAAAGAGAAAGCUGAACAGGUUUUGAGGUUAAUGUGUUACAAAUAAAUCAAGCAUAAAGCUUGAGAUAUUAUUUUAA
ensembl:lncRNA